rnacentral:rRNA from 1 species
GACGUAGGGGGCGAGCGUUGUCCGGAUUUAUUGGGCGUAAAGCGUGCGCAGGCGGCUUUGCAAGACAGAUGUGAAAUCCCCGGGCUUAACCUGGGAACUGCAUUUGUGACUGCAUGGCUGGAGUGCGGCAGAGGGGGAUGGAAUUCCGCGUGUAGCAGUGAAAUGCGUAGAUAUGCGGAGGAACACCGAUGGCGAAGGCAAUCCCCUGGGCCUGCACUGACGCUCAUGCACGAAAGCGUGGGGAGCAAACAGG